UACGUAGGGGGCGAGCGUUGCCCGAAUUUACUGGGCGUAAAGCGCACGUAGGCGGCUUCGUAAGUCUGGUGUGAAAUCUCACGGCUCAACCGGGAGGCUGCACCAGAUACUGCGAAGCUCGAGGACGGGAGAGGAGAUUGGAAUUCCCGGUGUAGCGGUGAAAUGCAUUGAGAUCGGGAGGAACACCAGUGGCGAAGGCGGAUCUCUGGCCCGUUGCUGACGAUGAGGUGCGAAAGAUGGGGGAGCGAAAGGG
rnacentral:rRNA from 1 species